AAAAAAACAUAGAGCCAACCAAAAAAACCCAAACCACCGUCUCCGUUGAGCUCCCACCGUCGCCGAUUAAGCUCAGCCGUCGCCGAUGAAGCUCAAACCGUCGCCGAUGAAGCUCCGUUAAGAGCCAACCGUCGCCAAUUAAGCUCAACGGCGACGCUUCAGCUCGCCGUUGCAAAUAAACACUCCGAUACCCACUCCAAAUCGCACCGGUGACCCUUCGACUUCCCAGUGACCCUUCGCCUUCCCGGCGACCUUUCCGGCAACCCUUCGCCUUCACGGCACUCUCUCACUUCUUCUUCGUCCUUUAAAAUUGAAACAGCUGAAAGAAAGAAGACGACGAUGCCUCGCAGCUGACUGCGAACACGUCUGCCGCGUUGGAUUCGGAGCAGAGACUGAUUCGCACUGGUCCACGCAUCGACUCCUUCGAUGUCGAGGCCCUCGAGGUCCCUGGCGCAGUCAGAAAUGAAUAUGAGGACUUUAGUAUGGGAAGAAGAAUUUCACUUGCUUUCCAGACCCUUGGGGUUGUCUUUGGUGAUGUUGGAACAAGUCCAUUAUAUACCUUCAGUGUGAUGUUUAGCAAGGCACCUAUUAAUGGAAAAGAAGAUGUUAUUGGAGCAUUAUCACUAGUCCUAUACACCUUAAUCUUGAUCCCUCUGGUCAAGUAAGUCCUGGUUGUCCUUUGGGCUAAUGACGAUGGUGAAGAGUCUUCAGUAGCAUUUCAAAAGUAUGGGGAAAAUGAUGUAUAAGAUGUGCAGGAACUUGAAAGAUCUUUAUCUUGGAGGAACAUUGCCAACUGAUCUUACAAAGCUAGUUCACAUAAAGUCUAUUGUUUUGCGCAAUAAUUCUUUUACCGGAAUUAUUCCUGAAGGAAUUGGUGAGCUAAAAGAGUUGGAGGUGUUAGAUUUGGGAUACAAUAAUUUCACUGGACCAGUCCCAGCUGAACUUGGCAGUAAUCUUUCACUGACAAUCCUCCUAGUGGACUAUAACAAGCUUCUUGGUAGCUUAUCUAUUGAGAUUCAAUUUUAAUCUUCAAGGUUUCCAAGAGUGGCCCUCUUUUCAUAUCUUCAAAAGGCUAAUACACAUUGUUUGCAAUAACUUUGGAUUUUUUCUGAAAGUUGUAAGCUUAGCUUGAGGAAAGUAAGU